rnacentral:ncRNA from 1 species
UAUUAAAUAUGGGCCUCGUGCUCAUCCUGGCAACAGGAACGACCAUAAAGAAGCCGUCGAGAGAUAUCGGAAGAGUUUUCUUUUCUGUUUUAUAGCCGUACUACCAUGGAAGUCUUUCGCAGAGAGAUAUGGUAGAUGGGCUAGAAGAGCAUGACAUAUACUGUUGUGUCGAUAUUUUCUCCUCGGACCUUGAAAAUUUAUGGUGGGGACACGCAAACUUCUCAACAGGCCGUACCAAUAUCCGCAGCUGGUCUCCAAGGUGAAGAGUCUCUAGUCGAUAGAAUAAUGUAGGUAAGGGAAGUCGGCAAAUUAGAUCCGUAACUUCGGGAUAAGGAUUGGCUCUGAAGAUUGAGAUAGUCGGGCUUGAUUGGGAAACAAUAACAUGGUUUAUGUGCUCGUUCUGGGUAAAUAGAGUUUCUAGCAUUUAUGUUAGUUACUUGUUCCCCGGAUAGUUUAGUUACGUAGCCAAUUGUGGAACUUUCUUGCUAAAAUUUUUAAGAAUACUAUUUGGGUUAAACCAAUUAGUUCUUAUCAAUUAUAACGAUUAUCAAUUAACAAUCAAUUCAGAACUGGCACGGACUUGGGGAAUCCGACUGUCUAAUUAAAACAAAGCAUUGUGAUGGCCCUAGCGGGUGUUGACACAAUGUGAUUUCUGCCCAGUGCUCUGAAUGUCAAAGUGAAGAAAUUCAAGUAAGCGCGGGUCAACGGCGGGAGUAACUAUGACUCUCUCUUUCAUUGACAGGGCAGAGCUCGAGGGAAAGGAAACCACUCUCUCAAGGGCUUAUCGCUAUAUCUCCUGGGAAUUUUUCCGGCCC